AUUCUGGUGCCUUAGGUGCAGAGGAAACACGCCAAUCCAUCCCGAACUUGGCGGUGAAACUUUGUUGCGGUGACAAUACUGCAGGGGGAGCUCUGUGGGAAGAUAGCUCGGCGCCAGGGGCAAACCUUUUUAUAUUUU
rnacentral:rRNA from 1 species